ACCUGGGUGGCUCAGUCGGUUGAGCGUCCGACUUCGGCUCAGGUCAUGAUCUCGCGGUCCGUGGGUUCAAGCCCCGCGUCAGGCU
rnacentral:tRNA from 1 species